rnacentral:lncRNA from 1 species
UUAUUCAUAAAAAAAAUUUUUAGAGCCACCCCUGCAGUAUAUGAAGGUUUCCAGGCUAGGGGUACAAUCGGAGCCGUAGCUGCUGGCCUAUACCACAGCCACAGCAACCCAGGAUCCAAGUCGCUUCUGCAACCUAUACCACAGCUCACAGCAAUGCCUGAUCCUUAACCCAAUGAGUGAGGCCAGGGAUCGAACCUGCAUCCUUACGGAUGCUAGUCAGAUUCACUUCCGCUGAGCCACACUGGGAACUCUCAAUUUAUUCUAAUAUUGUAAAACAGCUGUCUUUCAGCAACAUUUAUUUUUGUCCAAGGUGUGCAAGCCAGCUAGGAUGGCUCUGCCUCAGACAUGGGUAGGUUCAGAUACAUUCCACCUCUGGACCACAACAAAUUCUUCCCAGAGCAAUGACAAAAGAGUAAGAGAACAAACUCAACCAUAUAAGCAACCUCAACUAAUGUCACCCAAGUCAGCUGGGUGAACCUGUUAGGUGUGGGGGCAAGGAAGAUAUUCCUCCGACAGUGGGAAGCACUGCAAACUCACAGGUCUAAGAAUGUGGAUGUAUGCAUCCCUCACAGGCAGUAAUCUAAUCUAAUCUACAGUGAAAGCAAAAAUAAAACUGCAGAGGAAGAAAGUGAACCACUGAGCAGUUUUCAACAGGGCUGACAUCCAAUCACAGACCAGAUGUGGAAAUUGGCAAGUGGGGGUGGUACUCAUUUUCCGGAGAGGUGGGCCCUGAGCUAGUGUAAUCAGAGUUUUGGAGAUCUUCAGAACUCAUUGGCAAAGUGAAAGUCACAAUAUCAGAAGCAAUCUGCAGGUUAAGUACGAACCAAGUUUUAUGCCUGUGUCAGCCUCUGUGACAGGAAUCUCAGGAACAAUUAGGCAUGUGCCCUGUUGUACUCCAGUUCCCAGAGCACUGAUUGAGCUGCAAGUAAACUAAACCCUGUGAGCAAAGCCUGAGGCCUUGGAACCAGAGGACAAGUAUAUUUUGAAUAUAUGAAAUAAUUACACUAAAUAAAAUUUCUGAAAAUCUUAUCAUGCAGCCAAGUUCUGAGUAAUGUUCAUAAAAUUGAUGGAAUUAAAGCUGAAGUCUAACAGCUUUGAUAUGCCUAUUUGUACACAUCCCAGUUUUGUCAAGAAUUACUGUCUCUUAAAACAUCAACAGCUCAUUGUGAGAGAUAGUGUAUUAGGUGCAAAUUUUAUUUUUAUAUAAAUAAGUUCGAAGAAACAUUGAAAAUGCUCUUACAUAAAUGAUAAAAUCUGCAUUUCAACUAUCACAUAAACUAUGAUCACUACCUUUCCAUGCAUCUUACCCAAAUAUCAGUGUUCAAUUCUAAGUCCAACUGCUGAAAAACUUUGGAUGCCUAAUAGAAAAAUGCUUCAGUGUGCCACCCAAGUUGCUUUUUCCACUCAUCAUUGUGUUUGCGAGAUUUUUCUCUUAAAACAUGUAGUUUUAGUUCACUUAUUUUCAGUGCACUAUUGCAUCCCACUGCCUGUGUAUUCUGUUUUGAAAAUUCAUUCUUAUAUUAAUAGUUAUUCAAAGUUAUUACUUCAGUUUGCCACCCCCAAAUAUUCUUUCUCCUUCCUUUAUCAUUUUUUCUUACAUAUAUCCUCACGUCACUACCUCAGAGGCAUGCAUCAUGGUUGGCAUUCAGCACCACAGGGAGAGAGGCCCGAUGGGGUGAUAUGCUGCCUCUCCACAACAUUGUAUUCAUGACAGAGGCUAAAACUAUUCUAUUAAGAGGAACAUUCAAGAUGCUCUGGUCUGAACCAGGCUUUUGGAUCCUGACUAGCUUGCUCAUACAGCUGUAGUCAGUUAAUGGGAGGCUGCCUGGUCCACGAUGGUCCCACAUUUCUGGAGGAAGGGUGGCUGUUGGCUAGGGCAAAGAGCAUCUGGGCACAUAUCCCUGAUCUUCCAACAGGCUCCAAAAGCAAGGCACCAAGAUGGAAUCAGAAGCUCCCAAGGUCCUUUUAAGUUUAGGUGUAGGUUAUAUAUCGCUUCUCCCACAUUUUACUGCCCAAAGCAAAAUACACAACCAGAUCCCAUUCAAGGGCAAUAUUCUAGUUAUCUACUUCGAUAAAACAAACCACCUCAAACAAUCAUUUACUUUGCUCACCAAUCUGCCAUUUGGUCAGGGCUCAGUGGGGACAACUCAUCUCUGCUCCACUAGAUGUCAGCCGGACAGCUAGACUAAGGCUUGAGGGUCUGCUUCCAAAAUGGCUCUGUCACAUGGCUGGCAAAUUUCUCUCCAGGUAAGACUCUCAGGGGGUGGGUUACAUUUCUUACAUCAUGGGAGAUGGAUCCUAAAAGACAGGAAAUGCAAGCCACUAGUUUAAAGUUUGGCCCAGAAACUGGUACAGCAUCACUUCUGACAAGCCCUUACCACCUACAUUCAAUGAAAAUGAACAUAUCUGUUGAAUGAAAGGAAUGUCAGAGAAUUGGGGGCCUAUAUAAUAAAACUGCCAUAAGUAGGCUCUCGACUCCUACUUUGAUGGGAGAAGUGAUAUGUCACUUUGUAAAGGAAUGAACACUGGAAGAGGUAAAGAGUUGUUGCCAUAUUCACAAUCAUUUUGAGCAGCAAGAGAAGAGAUUUCUGGUUCAAUAUUUCUUCUGCAUCCUUAACUAAGCUAUUAUUUACUUGUCUCAGCCUUAUAUUAACUAUAACUUAUCAAAAAGUAAAUUUAGAAAUGCUACUCUAAUUAUUUAAAUGGCUUAAAGGAUUUUAUAUAGAAAGGCUUUACAAGUGCCUCACUUUUAUUUCAAAAUAAAUGUUAGUACUUUAGCUCCCCUUAAAGGACUGUGGAAUCAUGUUUUAUUUAUGGAAUAACUAUUAUGCAACAAGAGUGCAGAUAAUCAUUUUAUUCCACUCAAUGGGAUGAACACAGCCAUUUCUGCAUAGAAAAGACAGUCAAGUAGUCAAUUACAGCUGUGUGAUCAAUGUAAAAUCUCCAAUUUACGUGAACUGCAGAGUCAUUACUUAGACAUGGGGCAGAAAAUUUUGUAAGCUGUAGCCACCCUGUAUCUUAUUUCGCCUGUCUUCUUGUGCCCGAUGAACCGCAGUUAAAUGACCUAGAGGCCAACCAAACAGAGUUAUUGACCCUCUCCAAUCUCAUUUAUACUCUUCACACAUGGCUCCACAGGCACAGCCACUCCUUCAGGGAAAAAAUUCUAAACUUUAGGCAUCAAUUAUAUUCCCAAAUCUUUGUUUUCUUUUCCUAGAUUUCAGGAAAAAGAUCUGACCUCCUGGAAGUCCCAAAUAUAAAAUAUCUCUAGCAUCCACCUAGCAUUGUUUGAUAAGCCUAGUCUAAAAACUCCACGCCCAUCCCACCUCCUGGCCAGCACUGAGGUGGUGAUAGCUCUGACCCACUGAGCCACGGAUCAAGACAAUUUGAGUCUGUCUCCCUAGUAUGUGCUUUUCAACUGCUUUCAGUCAGGACUGCAUUUGGCAACAAGUAAUGGAAAAUCUUACAGAUAGUGGCUUUUAAAAACUGAAUUGUCUUUUUCCUUUUUAAAUUUUUAUUUAUUUUUAAAUGAAGUAUAGUUGAUUUAUAAUGUGUUAAUUUCAGGUAAACAGCAGAUUAUAUAUUUAUUCUUUAUAUUGAUUCAGAUAUAAUAGAUAUUUAGAUAUAUCUAUUCUU